UGGGGAAUUUUGGACAAUGGGCGAAAGCCUGAUCCAGCAAUGCCGCGUGUGUGAAGAAGGCCUUCGGGUUGUAAAGCACUUUUGUCCGGAAAGAAAUCCUUGGCUCUAAUACAGUCGGGGGAUGACGGUACCGGAAGAAUAAGCACCGGCUAACUACGUGCCAGCAGCCGCGGUAAUACGUAGGGUGCAAGCGUUAAUCGGAAUUACUGGGCGUAAAGCGUGCGCAGGCGGUUUGCUAAGACCGAUGUGAAAUCCCCGGGCUCAACCUGGGAACUGCAUUGGUGACUGGCAGGCUAGAGUAUGGCAGAGGGGGGUAGAAUUCCACGUGUAGCAGUGAAAUGCGUAGAGAUGUGGAGGAAUACCGAUGGCGAAGGCAGCCCCCUGGGCCAAUACUGACGCUCAUGCACGAAAGCGUGGGGAGCAAACAGGAUUAGAUACCCUGGUAGUCCACGCCCUAAACGAUGUCAACUAGUUNUUGGGGAUUCAUUUCCUUAGUAACGUAGCUAACGCGUGAAGUUGACCGCCUGGGGAGUACGGUCGCAAGAUUAAAACUCAAAGGAAUUGACGGGGU
rnacentral:rRNA from 1 species